CGGGAACCAGACGAAGCGCGGGUGGCUCGCAGCGGAGAAGAAGCCGGCCCGGCAUGGUUUGAUGCUUGUCCGGUGUUAAGAGCGUGACGAGGCUGCAGAGCCUGUCCAGCGCAGCCGCCACUCGAAGUGGAUGCAAGCGGGGGCAUCUUGCGGGAUGCAGAGCGGAGAGAACCAACUCCAACGGCGGCUCGGAAUAAGCCAUGAAGGCAACUUGGAGUGGAGGAUGGCUCGGAACGGCACGGUGGCUCCCGCGCGGCGGAGACCAGGCGGCGAUCUGUUCAUGGAGUCGUCGGAGCCCCAAUCCGUCUCCGGGUUGUGACACCUUCUUUUUUUUUCUUUUUUUCAUUUUUUUGACUUGACUUUGUAUUAUUUUUGGGAGUACCUAGAACUCAUCUAGAUGAGAUAUAAUUUGGUCUCAUUCACUUAAAAAAUAAGAAUAUAUAACAUCUAGACGAGUUCUAGCAAAACUGAUUAUUUUUCU